rnacentral:rRNA from 1 species
UACAGAGGGGGCCAGCGUUAUUCGGAAUUAUUGGGCGUAAAGGGCGCGUAGGCGGCUUUGCGUGUCUUUCGUGAAAUCCCUCGGCUCAACUGAGGACGUGCGGAAGAAACUGCAGGGCUGGAGUCCGGGAGAGGAGGGUGGAAUUCCCAGUGUAGCGGUGAAAUGCGUAGAUAUUGGGAGGAACACCGGUGGCGAAGGCGGCCCUCUGGACCGGUACUGACGCUGAGGCACGAGAGCGUGGGGAGCGAACCGG